rnacentral:ncRNA from 3 species
UGUGGGAGCGAGCCUGCUCGCGAUGAGGGGUAGCAUUCAACCAUUGAGUUGGCUGUUGCACCGCUAUCGCGAGCAGGCUCGCUCCCACA